GCAGAUGAUGAUUUUU
rnacentral:sRNA from 1 species